CCUACGGGUGGCAGCAGUGAGGAAUAUUGGUCAAUGGGCGCGAGCCUGAACCAGCCAAGCAGCGUGAAUGAUGACUGCCCUACGGGUGGUAAACUUCUUUUAUAAAGGAGUAAAGUGAGGCACGUGUGCCUUUUUGUAUGUACUUUAUGAAUAAGGAUAGGCUAACUCCGUGCCAGCAGCGGCGGUAAUAUGGAGGAUCCGAGCGUUAUCGGGAUUUAUGGGGUUUAAAGGGAGCGUAGGCGGGCAGUUAAGCCGGAGGUAAAAUGUCGGGGCUCAACCCCGGCCUGCCGUCGGAACUGGGUGCCUUGAGUGGGCGAGAGGGAUGCGGAAUGCGAGGUGUAGCGGUGAAAUGCGUAGAGAUCACGCGGAACCCCGAUGGCGAAGGCAGCAUACCGGCGCCCGACUGACGCUGAGGCACGAAAGUGCGGGGAGCGAACAGGAUUAGAUACCCUAGUAGUC
rnacentral:rRNA from 1 species